AGUUGUCAAGACACCUGAGCCAGUGAUCUGAACCAAGUCAUCAUUAACUACCUAUAGGCGAGUGGUCCAGAAGGGAGACAAGUCCCUUGGAGAAAUUAAUAAUUUCCCAGCCUGACAGGAGUGUGAAUGGCCCUCUCACCUUCCGUGAAAUCUUUCAAAGCUUGUUACAGACAUCAGUUCAUGAUGACUGUUUUUCCCACACACAAAAGGGUGUAUCCUGCUUUCCGCCCGAAGACUGUUGGGAUAGGGAUGGAUGGAUGGAUGUUUCCAACAUUUUGGAAACAUUUUGGCACUAAUGAACGGGGCUCACCCUAAACCCUGAGUGAAUUUUAAGGUGUCGACCAGAGGAGGAUUGGUUCCCCCUUUGAUUUGCCUUGACUUAAAAAAUAGCCCCCUCUCUCUCUCUCUCUCUCUCUCUCUCACACACUCUCUCUACUGCCCAGGAGAUGACUAAUCCCUGUGUCUGGAGUUGCAGGCUUUACAGAGGAGAGACGGUGGCUCCCGAUUGCAGGCUGACCUUUUCUCCACUCUCCUGGAUUACUGUACGCAUUUACAUUACUGUACACAACAGAUGAGCGAUGCUCGUCAGCUUGCUGCAAGACAACCUUUUGCUCCCAGUUUAAUGAGUUCCGUUUAUAUUGCUCCAGCAAGCCCACAAUAGAGAGCAAAGGUGAACGCCACAGAGAAACUUCGGCAUGACUCUAAAACUUUGCGAUAGAUAUAUGCUCUGUUAUUUAGCUCCAGAAGCAGAUGGGAUUUGCACAAAUUCUGCUUCAGAAAACGUGUAAAAACCAGCAAUUUUCAAGAUGAUUUAGUGAUCUACGGCAGUUUGGUUAACUCUUCUAACUCUUCAUUUUAUAAAAGUCCACUUGGCAAAACAAGCCUGAGAAACAGCUUUAAAGAAUCCUUAAAUAGUCAAAUCACUUUUGCUUAAAGAUUGUUCAUCAUCCAUCUUAAAGGCUGAUAGCAGAUGCAUUGUA